AGCCAAUCAGCUCCUAACUGACAUUUUUCAAACACAGCCUGUGACAUGGAAGUUAGGAGCUGAUUGGCUGGUGCUUUUUCACUCUCCAUUUUAUCACUUUCCAAGCGAUGAUGCAUCUGGCCCUAUAUCCUAAUUCCCCUGCUAGUUUUCCUUAAGAGGUUAAUAUGGACAUAACCAGUAUUCCGUGCAGUCAGGGCUUUUUCCUGGGUUUUAUUUAGAUGAGUAGCAGUAGAGACGGCAGCUCAGCCUGAUCUUCUGGCAUUGGGGCAGACCCUCAUGUUUCCCUGAUGAUCAUCUGAACACCAGAAGCAGUCAUCCCAAUGCUUAGGUGCUGCAUCCUGAUACCUAGGUUCUGGUUUUCUCUUUGGAACACUGCAGAAACAAGUACUGACUAAACCACCAUCAGAUAUAUACUGUAUAUGUGGAUACGCAAUGUAUUUCUGUUUGUAAAGAUUAUGUCUCAUUGUCCGCUUUCAGCAGAAUAAUUAGUGCACUUUCUUUCCAGACUUAAAAAGGGCCCAUGCAAGAAUAAGUGGUCUGGCCUUCAGUAUGUUCCUAAAAUAAUGAUCAAUUAAUCUAAUCCUGCUACAGUUAGGUGCAAUUUCACAUCGCACCUACAUCACAGAUUUGUGUUACUCCCUUAGAAAUGUGCACACAUAUUCUGCAGUGAUUCGGGGGGUUCGGUUUACAUGGUAAACACUGAGGUGCGGUGUGGUCAGUGGCUGGUGAUGCACCAGAUUUACAAACACAUACACGAUUUGGUGGAGAGUUUUGAUUGUAUUCUAAUCAUUUUUAUGCUCUAGAGUGUACUGGUGUAUGACAGGUGCGGCUCUGCAGAUCACUGAUGUAAAUAUAUGUGCACUGUGCCUGCUAAGUAAAUUGACACCAAAGAAUUGCCACAGCGUAUUUGGACAUUUUUUUAUUACACUUCUCACCUUUGGUGUUUUUAUGCAUUGGUGGGAGUGCACGUACAAAUGUGCUUUCAACAUAAAGUACACCUGGAAUGUGCAAAUGGCACUUCUUUAUAUGUGAUAAAAUGCUCUGUAAUGGAGACCAAAUAUGGAAUGCACCAAACGCCACCUCAUUCUCAACAAUCCAAUGCGACUUGUGCAUGACCUAAUGCAGAGGACCGAGUUUGAGAACCUCUGACCUAAUGCAUCCAUACAUCUAGACCAGCUAAUCUAGCACUUGGUGCCUCUUGUCAGAAGAUGCAAAACUUUUACACCCCAGAGAUGAUACAGUCUUCUCCCACAAAUCCAUGCACUACUCCGGGCACUCAGGUUAAUUUGUGACGAUAGACGUUCAAUCCAAAAGAGCUGUGUGCUCGUGCUUCUCUGUCGUCUAUGAAGACUUAUUGAUGCUGUACACCAUUAAUCCAAACAUAGUGAAGGUGAGUUUCUGCAAUGACCAUAAAACCGCCUCUAAAGGCAAAAAAAUAAAAAAAUCCAGUUGAAGUCAAGUGAAUCUGAAAAUAUGGCCUAGUGACUUUAUUACUAUUACCUAUAGCAAUGCACACUGCUGCAGAGAUCAUUCCCCAGUCUCAGCAUAAACUUCAGAUGUCUUACUGCCUAUACGGAUUAUCAGAUCAUUAACACAUAUUCACAUUCAUUGAUUUAAUUACCCUCCCAAGUAGAAAUUCUAUUUUUUGAAAGUGUGAGUAACUAUACUGUCUAUGGAAAGCAGUAUUGUGCAUAUUUGCACAAUUUAUAUAUAUUUACAGACCUUUUUGCAGACUCAUAUUGUGUAGCAAAUGUAAACAAUUACCCUUGGAUCCAGUAUGGGGCUGGAUGUAAUGAAAUCCCAGUUGGCCGGGAAUGCGGGUUCCCAGCCAAACUCGUACGUUUUUUUUUAAAAGCGGCAGUCAUUUACAAGGUAUGGUUUUGCCUUGUACAUAAUUGUCUCUUUAAAAAAAAUGUCCAAGUUCUGACAGGAACCUGCACCUCCGGCCAACUCGGAUUUCAUUACAUCCAGCCCAUUGUCUUCAAACUGCUGCUUUUAAAUGGACACCGUGUCAGCAACGGGUUGGUAUCCCGACAAAUCCCACAGAGUAUUUUAACCCUGACCCAUCUCUCCCGCAGCGAUGUACGAUACUGUACAUGCAACGGGUGUACAUAUUUACACACAAUGUGGGAAUUCUUCCAUAAUACAUGAAGGCACAGUAUGAUUCUAUCAGACAUUUACCACCCUCUAUCCUUUUUCUCAUUCAGUUGACUUUUGUUUACCAUUUAUUCUACUAAUUCCACCUCUGCCUACCUCGCACACGUCUUUUUCUGUGUCUUAUUUCUAAGCUAUCAUUCUAUACCAUUUUUCUGAUUUUUACUGCUCCCAUCCGUAUGCAGAGUACACCUGGUACAUUUUAUACAUGGGAAUUGGGGAUAGGACAGCAGGGAAUGGAGUGGUGUGAGGCUAACCAAAAGAAUCGCAGGGAGAAUGGCGAUGUUGCAGUCAGCACACUCACUGGUCAGGUGCACUCUGCUGCAAAUAUACGUGUCCAUUUAUGUUCCCACUCCCCUGUAUAUAAUAAAUUAAUAUGUCAGUUGAGCUACAGUGAUUUCUGGAAUUGUCUGUAUUAUUUUGAACAUUCUCAACAUUAUCCAAGUACUGAUAAAAGGGAAUCUGGUUGCUAUGUCUGUACUGCACACAUUGAUCCAACAUCUAUAUUUAGACUUGGGGGGGAUCAAAUUUUGGAGAGAGAGAAUCUGCCAACCAAUCAGCUUCUAGUUGUCAUGUUAGAGGCCGUGCUAGACAAAUGACAGGAGCUUGUUGGUUGCAAUGGGCAACUUGUUCACUAUAAUAUAUAAACGUGUGUGUGUGUGUGUGUGUGGUGUAAGGAUCCGCACUCACAUCCAGAGUUGGGCAACCCCGGGGUGCUCCACAAAGGCAACAAUCAUCCGGUUUUACUUAUAUAGACAUAAUGACCUAUUUUGGUCAGAAGACUGCACUAACCAAUAGUAGAAGUCCAAAUAUCUUUUAUAUAUAUAUAGUGUGUAUAUAUGUGUGUGUGUGUAUAUAUAUAUAUAUAUAUAUAUAUAUAUAUAUAUAUAUAUAUAUAUGUGUGUGUGUGUAUAUAUAUAUAUAUAUAUAUAAUACAUCUCAUUCUGUAACACUCCAAAGCCCUCUGAUGAAGUGUCUUUGGGAGAGACGUAUCAAAUAUAUAAUGUAAAAUACACCCGCAUUAUUCGCAAGCAUGGGUCAUUUGCCGAGAACAGUGUGCCGACGGCCUGGUGUAAUUACUCACUGCUGCGAUGCUUGCACAGUGCAAAUCCAUCAUGGCAAGGAUGAGACCAGCAGAUUGUGUGUGUGUAUGUAUAUAUAUAUAUAUAUUUAUUGAUUUGAGAGAGGGAGAUAUUAUAUUGUCCCUCAUAAGGUGAAUACAGCGUUAUACAGGUUGAGUAUACCAUAUCCAAAUAUUCCAAAAUACAGAAUUUUUUGAGUGAGAUAGUGAAACCUUUGUUUUCUGAUGACUCAAUGUACACAAACUGUAUAAUACACAAAGUUAUUAAAAAUAUUGGCUAUAAUGACCUUCAGGCUGUGUGUAUAAGGUGUAUAUGAAACAUAAAUGCAUUCUGUGCUUAGACUUAGGUCCCAUCACCAUGAUAUCUCAUUAUGGUAUGCAAUUAUUCCAAAAUACGGAAAAAUCCGAUAUCCAAAAUACCUCUGGUCCCAAGCAUUUUGGAUAAGGGAUACUCAACCUGUAGUUUGUUUGGGUCAGGUCUUCAGCUUGUUCAUUUCUGUUGUAAGUGCAGUUAUUUUAGAAUCAUUCAUGUUGUAUUGUGUCUUGUUGGAUAGUGCUGCAAUGUUCUAGGAUUUAACAUAGUCCGCCUCACUGAAACAAAAUAUUUCUAAAGGCUCAUGAGCUUUUCUUAACAAAACUGAAUCAAUUUGCUAAAUAAAUUAAUGGAAAACGACCUAGUUUGUUUUUCUAGUUGCACCAUGCAUUAAAUAAGAAUUUCCCAAACGUACUCCUCUUUUCGGCAGUGUUACAUGUACUACUAUACAUGCAAAGUUUUUUCCUUGGGCUCUGCUGAUUCCGUUCUGUAAAUCCGAACCGGUAAGAAAACUAAUGUAACCAUAUUUUAUAAACAGUGGGGGACCAAGCAGAAGCUACCCCAUGGUGAAGGGGAACGUUAGAUUAUAGAACGAAGGGGCUAAUUCAGACCUGAUCGCUAGGCUGUGUUUUCGUACAGCGGGCGAUCAGGUCUAAACUGCGCAUGCACCGCAAUGCGCAGGCGCAUCGCACAGGUACAAAGCGGAUCGCCACUCAGCGAUGGGUUUGUGUGAAGGAUCCAUUUGCACAGGUGCUCGCUCGCAAGGAGAUUGACAGGGAGAAGGCGUUUGUGGGUGGUAACUGACCGUUUUCUGGGAGUGUUUGGAAAAACGCAGGCGUGUCCAAGUGUUUGCAGGGUGGGUGUCUGACGUCAAUUCCUGUCCUGAACAGGCUUAAGUGAUCGCAGCGGCUGAGUAAGUCCUGGGCAGAGCAGAGACUGCACAAAAUCUGCAGCCCUCCCUUCCCCGUAGGCGGCGACUAUCCCAUUGUAGCAGUGCAAAAAUCGCCUGCUAGCGGUCAGGCCUGAAUUAGGCCCAGCGUUCGGUGUGGUAGGUGUAGUGCAGUGCAAAAUCGGAUUCCCUUUAGCUAGUAUGAGGAACAAGAUAAUGAUCGGAUAUUUUAGUCAAACUAAUGCUGGAAUACAGAUAAUUAAAAAGGCUCAAAGUUUCUGUGCUCCUAAUAUAAACUCUGCUGUAUCACAUGGGCACUUUCACAGCUAGUAAAGUGUAGUGUUCAUGUCCAGUCAUGGUGACUGCACAUGUAUGAUUAUAUCUGGUGGUCUGAUGUACUGUCCCGGUGUGUUUGUGCCACAGAGCCUGUGAUUUAUACCUCCAUAUAUCCAUAUCUGCAGUGUUUCUCAAUAACUUCUCUUGUAUCUCAUUCGUAAGGAGAACGUUGGCAAAUCCUCCGUCAAUGAUUAUAUUACAGAAAAUGUGAUUUACUAAUUCUAGUUAGUUUAUACGCUACAAAUAAAUGUACAUAUUUGAAAGGAUAUACUAUAACAUUUCCUGCAGUAGAUGUGCUGAAAUAGUAUAGAGAGGAAUGAACACUCAAUGGUUAGAAUUUCUGUAUGUUACAUCAGUUACCGGAAAUCUUGGCAAAUAUGUCUACAGUGUGUUCUAAACAAGCAGCAUUGGAUAUACGUAAUACAUACGUCCUUCUACAUAUCUUGUCCAUAUCACUGUUUACAUAUAGUUAAAGCCAUCCAUGUCUGUUUAUAGAGCUGUACAGUACAUUAAUAUGUGAAACCAAGCAAUAUAUCAUAAUCCAUGUAUGUAACAUGCAGGCCAUUGCAUAUCUGUGUACUAUAAAGAGCAGGCUUUAUUUCCUACCUUUCUAUGCAUAUGUUGUUAUAAUUAGAUUAACAUACUACAUAAAGAUAUGAACUCAAUGACACUACCUGUACUGCAAAUAAUUCCAGUGUGGCUGUAAGCAGUACACCUGCCCACCCUCCUCACUUUGUACCAAUGCAAUAUGUAAGUGUAUUACAACCAUGCAUGAUUACACAGAUGAAUAAACCUUGAAGCUCCUCCAGUAUUAAUGUGUGUGGUCUCUUAUACAGAAACACCAGGGGCAGCCUGGUAGAGAUGCAACCUCUAAACGUACUCAGUGCACAUAAUUGUGUAAAUAAUAUAUUUACAAUAAAGCAAAUAGCACUGUUAUGUGCAAAUGAAA